UACAGAGGUCCCGAGCGUUGUUCGGAUUCACUGGGCGUAAAGGGUGCGUAGGUGGUGAGGUAAGUCGGAUGUGAAAUCUCCGGGCUCAACCCGGAAAUGGCAUUGGAAACUACCUUGCUGGAGGAUUUGAGGGGGGAUUGGAAUACUUGGUGUAGCAGUGAAAUGCGUAGAUAUCAAGUGGAACACCAGUGGCGAAGGCGAAUCCCUGGAAAAUACCUGACACUGAGGCACGAAAGCUAGGGGAGCAAACGGG
rnacentral:rRNA from 1 species